AGGCAACCAGAUGCCCCAGGAGAAUUCCCAACACUGCAAAGCUACAAUCACGUGCAACUCUUCCAAAGCCGUGCUGUGUUACUAGGGAGGGCCACAAACCAAAGGUGCUCUGAGCCAGAGCAUGCCCUGUGUCUUAGAAAAGGCUACAAAAGAGAAGCAGACUAAUUUCAUCCUUUUCAGAGCUUCAUCAAAGAGCCACAGGAAUCGGGGGAUGUGUGACAUGGACAAAAGGAGGUAGUUGUGAGAGCAAGGAUUUUCAUCAGGACAACUUCAUCACUGGCAGGAUCCGUGCCCACAAAACGAGCAUGGGUGACAGCAUCUGCCAUGUUCUCCAUGCCCUCUGCUGUGCCCUCAUGGGUGGGAUCUGCUCCAGCGAAAAAGGAAAGAUUAAGUGAUGUGGAGAGGAGAGAGAUAAAAGGAAACUCCAAUGACCAGCUGGCCUGAGGUCUCCAAUGACCAGCCUGUCUGCCAAGUCCAGGAAGGGGAAAGAGUAACACCAACAAGACAGCAGAGGGAAAAGUCACAGCAGCGGCAGCCACUGGAGGCUGUGAAGAAAGAUGACCUGCAGGUGGUGCUCAGGGCAAGGCUGGAAGUGGCUGGGCCUGAUUUUGUUUAGGAAAAGUAUGAAGCUGGGACUAGGGUGUCGAAGAGGCUGAUGCAACUGUUCAGAAGCUAGUUGGUACCCAGGAUUCCUGCUCAGGAUCCUGAAUGCAUCAGCUAAGCAAAUCCAACAUUUCUAGAAUAAAGGGUUUUCUUGCUCUGAA